AGGAGGGAGGAGAGGCGG
rnacentral:misc_RNA from 1 species